UAAGAGCUAAAAUUAAGACUAAGAGGCGUCCACGUGUCGUUUCUUUCUUUCUCCCCCUCUCUCUCUCAAACGCGAAACAGAGAAUCCUUCGACGAUUUCGGGAAAUCGACGAUUCCGGGAAAUUGACGAUGAAUCGGAGGAAUCUCCGAUAUGAGUGAACACCGGCCGUCGUUCUUCCGUGGUCAUUGAUUGCUUCUCAGGCGUUGGUGGUUACCCUAUUCAAUUUGCUAAAGUAUGUUCUUCUGUUGUUGCUAUUGACAUUGAUCCGGUGAAAGUUGAAUUGGCUAUGAACAAUGCUAUGGUUUAUGGAGUUGCUAAUCGUGUAGAUUUUAUCAUUGGUGAUUUCAUUCAAUUAGCUCCGUCUCUUAAAGUUAGAUGGCUGAUGAGAGUGAGAGAUAUACAUGGUUAUUGGUUGGCCUACGGUGCAAGAAGAGUUCUACAAUUCUAAUCAUCCAUUAUGAGCGAAGUUGUUCGGAUUUUCUCGGGGAUGUUUGUUUCAGAUCUUCAAAUUUAAAGGUCUUGAUGCAGACGCAAAGUUUGAGUUUGCAAAGAGGAAACUUCAAGAGAGCGGUGCUUAAACCUUUGUAAAAGGAGCAAACGAUCUAUAAAUUAAUUCUUUUAUAUGCUCUGACCGGAGCAGUCACCACUCCGCUUGAUGUUAUUAAGACAAGAUUAAUGGUUCAGGGAAU